GGCUUCAUGACAUUUUUUGAUAUGAAGUCGGACCUGCCCAGUGAAUUUUUCAACGGCCGCGGUACUCUGACCGUGCAAAGGUAGCAUAAUCAUUUGCCUUAUAAUUGAAGGCUGGAAUGAAUGGUUUGACAAGAGUGCAACUGUCUCUUUAUGAUUCAAUAGAAUUUUAUUUUGGGAUGAAAAAGUCCUAAUAUAAUUAAAAGACAAGAAGACCCUAUCGAGCUUGAAAUAAAUUAACAAAAGAAAAAUUUAUUAGACAAAAAAAUUGUGUUGUUAAACAUUUUGGUUGGGGCAACUAAGGAGUAAAAAAAGCCUCCUUUAUGUUAAGAUAAACUAACAAGUACUGAUCCAAACUUUUUGAUCAAAGAAAAUAGUUACCGUAGGGAUAACAGCAUUAUCUUUUUUGAGAGUUCCUAUCGAAAAAAAGGUUUGUGACCUCGAUGUUGGACCAGAAUAUCCUGAAGAUGCAGAAGUCUUCAAGGGUUGGUCUGUUCGACCAUUAAAAUUCU
rnacentral:rRNA from 1 species